CAAAACAUAGUUUAAGUUAAAAUUUUAGCUUUGGAUGCUAAUUGAUAUUAAAAAUUAUUUGUUUUGA
rnacentral:tRNA from 1 species